rnacentral:rRNA from 1 species
AUUGAACGCUGGCGGCAGGCCUAACACAUGCAAGUAGAACGAGCGGCGGACGGGUGAGUAAUGUAUGGGAAUCUGCCCGAUAGAGGGGGAUAACUACUGGAAACGGUGGCUAAUACCGCAUACUAUCAGAUGAACCCAGAUGGGAUUAGCUAGUAGGUGGGGUAAAGGCUCACCUAGGCGACGAUCUCUAGCUGGUCUGAGAGGAUGAUCAGCAACACUGGGACGGAGACACGGCCCAGACUCCUACGGGAGGCAGCAGUGGGGAAUAUUGCACAAUGGGCGCAAGCCUGAUGCAGCAAUGCCGCGUGUAUGAAGAAGGCCUUAGGGUUGUAAAGUACUUUCAGCGGGGAGGCGUUACCCGCAGAAGAAGCACCGGCUAACUCCGUGCCAGCAGCCGCGGUAAUAC